UCAUUCCACGUUCCCUACGUGCCUCCGAUGCAAGUGAGGCAGGUAAAAUGAAAUCGAUUGCGUUUUCCAGAUGAGCACGUUGAGGUGUAGUGGGGAUUUGGACCUCCCUCAGAUCGCACAGGUAAUUAGCGGUGGAGGCAGACUUAGAACAUCGAUCACCAGACUUCAGCUCCAGUGUCUUUCCUAUGACUGCCAGCAUCUGCGUGGGAGAGCCCCCACCACCCGGGACCUCCAUCUAGCAGCGGCUGUGAAGGCUCCCCAAAGGACUCAAAUGGCAGCUGAGUCCACACAGGCCAUCUCAGUCCUGGGAGACGUCCUGGGCCGUCAUCCUAUCUGUCGAGAACUUGCGUGGACGCAGGGAGCACUGGAACCCUCCGUCUCCCAAUAGGAGAGAGCCUCCGAUGGGCGCCCCCCAUGAGCAUGGGAUUCCCAGGGAAAUUCCAGCAAGGCAAGACCUCUGGCCGACCCAAUGUGCAGGAUUUUGCUCGAAGCCUCAGAGAACCCCAAUAUUGCCCUGAGCUCUUCUUCCCAGGAGCUAGGGAACUAGAUGAAAUGACCUCUAUGUAACUUUUUCUGUUACAGAACCCUGUGGAAAGGAGGCUGGAGGGAGAGGAAGCUGGCACUGGGAGGAAGUGCUCCUCCAGCUCUUUCCUGUGCUCUUUGGUGCUCCUUGGCUCCUGGAGAAAGUGGGCAAGGGAGUCUGGCAGGAAGGCUACCCAGGAGACACAUGGAGACCAACCGGCCUUGCCCGGUGGGGGGUGGGGCAGUCAAUGGCUGUGGCAUUCUGCCCUACAUACUGGGGCUUCCCCACUGGACUCCUUCGGCCAUCACUCCGGGGUUUGGCCGGGAACUCAGCAAGGACCCUGACCAGGCUAUGGCCAGAGCCCUGGAGUGGAGGGAGGAGCCCAGGAGAACACCCGGGCCGGCCCGCGGGCACGCUGCCAGACCUCUCCCGUCUAAGAGAAAGAGCUGAGAAGGUCAGCCAAGGGGCCCAGCUGCAGCGAGAGACCUUGUGCGCACAGCAGGCUGAGGACUGAGCUGGUCGGUCUUGAGUGUCAAAGGGGACGGGCCUCAACCCAGGCAGAGUCCACAGGCCCCGGGGUCACCAGACUGGGCUCCAUCGCCGGGAGGAGAGACAUUUGGACAAGAGCCAAUGAAAAGGACCAGAUGCCCAGUAGAGGCGGCAGACCCUCAAGAGACAGGGGCUCCCCGGGACCAGCAAGAUCGGAACACAGCCCAUGCACCCACCAUCCAGCCCCACAUGCUCCGGCUCAGAGGAAAGUGGCACGGCCACCAGCUCUGUGGUUUCCUGUCCCCGGAGAGAGGAAGACGCGAGGGAGCACAUCUUCCCGUCUCCUCCUCGGUCUCUUCCAGGGUUUGCUUUGUGUGCCUGCUCCCUUUCCUUCUUGUUUCCCUCAACCACCCUCCGACUGACUUCUGGUGGUUGGACAACUUUCCUGCCGAGUCGCCAUAGCAAAGGACCGCGCACUGGCAGGUUUAACACAAAUGGACUUCCUGGCGGUCCUGGAGGCCAGAAGUCCAAAAUCAAGGUAUCCGUGGGACUGCACUCCCUCUGAAGUCUGGGGCAUGGGGUGGGCGGAUUCCUCCUCAGGUUUCCCAGCUUUGGUGGCCGCCAGCAGGGCCUUGCCAGUCCUCGGCUGGUGGCUGCGUCACGCCCGGCCCUGCCUCCGUCUUCGCCCGGCCUUCUUCUCUGUGUGUCUGUGUCCAAACCUCCUCUUCUAAGGACACCAGUCAUUGGAUCGGGGCCCAAACUCAUCCAGGAUGACCUCAUCGUAACUAAUUACAUCUGCAAAGACCCGAUUUCCGAAUUAGGCCACAGGCACAAGUUCCACGUGGACAUGAAUUUUGUAGACGUGACUCAAGCCAGUUUUGGGGACUUCGUUCCGCAGGAUCUCGGAUUAAGAACGUGGUGUUUUGUUUUGUUUUUUUUUCCUUGAAUCUUUCAGAAGAGCCUGAGAAAGGUGUCCUUCUUUGCUCUUGGGGCACAGGGACGAGUGGAACGUCCCAGUAGGCUCUCUUAAGUCCACCUUGAGCAGAGGACAGGCUGAAGGGGUGCCUGGGGAUGAAGCCCAGUAGGGGGCCUAGCCAAGGGCUGCAUGGCCAAGGGCAGUGCCUCUCAGGGAGGGGGCGUGCGGCGGAGCCAGCCUGGAGCGGCUGAGUCCCCCACAGACGUUGCCUCAUUAACUGCAGAGAUGCUUCCUGCAUUUCUCUGGUGAAGAGCUCAGUCUUAGCAACCUCAGAUGACCCCUCACGCAAGAAAGAGCAUCCUCUAGAAAGCUUAUCCGAGCUUCCAUGGGCAAGGAGGGGAGAGGAGAGAGCCCCAGGGCCAGGCGUGGGAAGUCUGGCCAGUACCCCAGCUCCUUGCCAGUGUUACCCAGGGAAAGGUCCAGGGGAUGCCCGACAGCCAGCUCUUUGCAGAGCCCUGGGUUCCUGACAGUGAGGUGGCCACGGGCACACAGCAACCUCCAUCCCUCAGAUGUCCCCAUUGAAUCCAAACACCAGGCUGGGGACAGCUGGGGAGGGGACAUGGCCUUUCAUCUGCAUCUUCCUUGUGGUCAGAGAGGAAGCGGGACAGGGGGAGCCUCCAGGUGCCCCUUGAGAGCUGAGGGCCAGUUCUCAGGUCCUCCUCGGCCCUCCUCAACCAGUGCCCGCAGCCCCUUCUCUCUGCCCACACUGCCCUUCGCCUGCAGCCGAGGUCUCUGGGCAGACCUCUGGCUCUGACAGGCUCUCUGGAGCACCUGGGUCUGACUUCUAGAACCUGGGAAAGGAGAGAGGGAGGAUGCCAAGAAGGCACGAGGUUGUGCUCCUACCUGAACCACAUCACAGAAAGGGGACCGCCCUGCCCCAGCGUACCCGCAGCUGCUGUUCCCGGGACAGGAAGUCAGCUGAGUGCCGGGCAGGCGGCAGCGGGGGAGGGGCUCUGGCACCUGGGCAGUCAGUGGAGGGCCAUCUGUCCCCUCCCCCCGCCCCUCCCCCCACCCAGGGCACCAGUUCCCACACUCCGGAGGCCAGACGGAGUAGGGAUUAUUAGGAGGUGAAACUUUCUCCUGGUUCACUUUUGCCCCCUCGCAGCCAGGAGACCUGAGCAGGUCAUUAACCUGCUUCCAUCUGUGCAAUGGGGAUGUUAACCGUCUCCGCUUCCUCGGGCUGCUGUGAUCGUUCAGUAAGUGAAAACCCACGUUGCCCAGCUCACAGUCAGCACUGGCUGCCCCGAUGCUCCUGAGAAAGGGCUGAGCCCCUGGACAGACUGGAUUUCAUACAAACAUUCUGGCACUUCUGCAGCGGCCUGGCCUGCUUAGGGGAGGAAGGAUGACCUUCCAGGCAGCCCCUGCCCUGGUCUACUAACUCUCCCUGGGAAGCCAGUGACACCCUCCCUCCCUUCUCACACUGGGUGAGCUCUCCCUCCACCAGGGCCCCUCUCUGGCCGGCCUGCCCAACCACAGGGCAAUCAGGCUUUCGGCCAGGCAGUUACAGUAAGUCAGGCCCGUCCUUCCUCGCAUGGGGUACCACCGCGCCCUGGUCCAGAGCCUCGCUUCCCAUGGAGGAGGGGAGAAGGCGAUGGAGAGGCCCUUCCUUGCCAGGUGCGCUGGGCUGGCUCUUAACCCCCACCCCCAGAACAUGCUGGUCUUUCCCAGUGAUUUCCAGCAGACCCGAGCUGCAAAGGGCAGCUGAAACAGCAAUGAUGUUCAGAAGGAGAGGCUGACUCACUCCAGCCAGGCUGCGCCCUCCGUGAAUAUUUUUGGACCUCAGCCUGGGAUUCCUGCAGGUUUGGACCACAAGUUGGACCAUCUUCUUGUAUGAGGCACGUUCCAAGGGCAGAUAUGAGUAAUCGCUGCUUAAUAGACGAGGAAACUGAGGCUGGGAGCCCGUGAGAGGCGGCUGGAUGAGAGGUGGAGCCUGCUGGGCAGAAAGGGAGACUCCGUGCGCCGGGGAGAGACCGCACCAGCUCUCAGACCGUGCAUUCCUCAGCCCUUCCAUCAGCUAGGUCGGCCCCCGACGGGCUUCCCCGAAGGCUGCGAGGUCAGCGUCCCACCCCACUGCCUCGGGGUCCGGCGCCGCGCCCCCUCCCCCGACGGACCCUCUAGGGUGUGCGCCCUCCGCCCACGCCCCUGCCCCACCUCCCCAGACACCGCGUCUGGGAUUCCGGCCCUGUCCCAAGUCCCCGGUCCGCUACACGGCCCCUGCCCCAUCCGGACGUCCGCGCCCGGGGAUCCCGGCCUGCGCCCCUCUCCCCGGGCCCCCGCCGUCCCCCAGG